CCUCGUAAGAAAUAUUUCUUUCUCCUACAUGAACUAGAUUGAGCAAACUGCACUCUUCUAAAAAUGUGGCUUAAUCCCUAAGAAUUGCAAUCUUUAUUUGACUGAGUGUUUUGAAAUGGUUACAUCCCAAUUUGAAAACAGAACCAGUCUUUGGAUUUAGCAACUGUUCGAGAGCACAUUUGGUUCCCAUUUUCAGUAUCUAUGGCACAUGAUGUCCAUCAUGGUGUCUUCCUUUUUUCCUCUCCCGUAGCCACUCCACGAAUGUCAAAUACCUACUAUCUACCGAGCGCUGUUCUAGAAUACAGAGGUGGGCAAGGGCAUGGCUCCCUAAGCCAUGCUUGCCAUACGUUCAUGAACUGAUUCUGCGUAGCAGGGCUGCGGCACUUCCAUGUCUGCAUGCGCUCGCCAGGCCUGAGCAAGAGGAAGCUGAAGGGCUCAAAGUUCCUCAGCGUGUCAACACACCACAAAACCUCAGAGCCAUUUCAAACUCGGCCCUCAGAAACCAAGCCUGUGAAGAUGAACGGGCCAAACUGAAACUGCAGUAAGGCCAACUGUCAAGACAUGUUUGUGAAGCCGUUAUGACUACCGUG